rnacentral:rRNA from 1 species
UCGCCUGUUUAUCAAAAACAUGGUUUCUUGUGUGGAUUAUAGGAAAUUUGGCCUGCCCACUGAAUUAAAAUUUGAAGGGCCGCGGUAUUUUGACUGUGCGAAGGUAGCGUAAUCAUUAGUCUUUUAAUUGGAGGCUGGUAUGAAUGGUUAGACGAGGUGAAGACUGUUUUAUAGUAAUUUUAGUAUUGAAGUUGGGAUUUAAGUAAAAAAACUUAAAUAAUGUUAAGGGACGAGAAGACCCUAUAGAGUUUAAUAAGUGUAAUUAUUAAUAGGGUUAUUAAGUGUUUAGUGUUUAUUAAGGUUAAUGCUUAUUUAAUUGGGGCGAUUAGAAGAUAAGUAAAACUCUUUUUUGUUUUUAAUAUGGAUGAAUAGAUUUUAGAUCCAUUAAGAUGAAUAGUGAUUGAAAGAUAAAAUUACCUUAGGGAUAACAGCAUAAUUUUUUUUGAGAGUUCUUAUCAAGAGAAAAGAUUGUGACCUCGAUGUUGGAUUAAGAUGAAUAUUGGGUGUAGAUGUUUAAUAUAUUGAGUCUGUUCGACUUUUAAAAUCUUACAUGAUCUGAGUUCAAACCGGAGA